AAAAAAAGGAGAAGCCCACCGCACCAAUCUCUCCCUCCCUCUCUCGUGCGAACCUCUCCUUCCCAACCUACGAUCUCCUCGCCGCCGCCACCAACCAUGCCGGCCGGUUCCGGCGAGCUCAGGCCACGCGCAGCACGACCCUGAGCUCCCCAAGAUCCGCACCCCCUCCCCUCCGUUCAGAUCCGCGCCUCAAGGCCCGCAACCUCGCCCGCUGCUAGGGUUUCUUAGUCGGAACCCGCCACAACCGGCGAUGGCGAGGCCCAAGUUCGCGAGAUCCGUCACCGGCAUUGCCCAGGCCACCAUGGCGUGGAGACGGCGACGACGGCAGGAGGGCGCAAGGCCUUGCCCUGCUCAAGGAGGAGGAGGAGGGGCGCACCUAGCCGCCGGCCAUGCUCUGCUUAAGGAGGAGGGGCGGGAGGGGUCUGCUGCUAGGGAGACCAAGAGAUCCUGCCCGAGCUCAAGCACGGCCACGACGACCCACUGCGGCAGGUAGCAUAUCCCUCCCUCUCUACCUCUGCUCACUAAUGAAGCUAAGUUAAGGAAUAUUUGAUGCAAAUCAUGGUUGCCUCAAGGAAUUCAAGAGGGAUUUGUAUGAACAAGUCCAGUUUUUUUAUUUAGUUAGUUAGUGCCAAACAGAGAGAGAGAAGAUGAGGCCCAGAUUGGUCAAUUUGGCUGCCACUUCAUGGAUUUGUAUCUAUGCAACCAUCUCCCUCCUGUUUGUAUGGUUUGGAUUGCAAGAAAUUCAGUUUCGGGUGACCUGCACCUAGUUUAACUUCUGUGAAUAAUGAACCAUCUGACAUAAAUAUGUUGUGUACAUUCUGAAUCCCCAACAUGACACAAAUUCAAUUACUAGUGUUUGUGAACAUAGCCUACCUAUUCACCAAAUGAAGAAUCCACCCAAGAUUCUGGCCAUGUCGGCAAGUCCACCCCGUCCAAGGACCUCAAUACCGCGCCUCCCUGCCUCAGAUCUUGAUUUCCCCACCUUCGGGCUUGCUCCACUUGCCCUACAGGCUCGGCGUGCAGCUCCAAGCCAUCACCAUUGACUUCUAGAGGGCCUUCCAGGUCCACGACAAGCUCUACACCGGCCUUGUCCCUCUCUUUUGCCUCUAUGGGUAAACUUACUUGCUACAGAUUAUUCACAAUUUCUCCAUUGUUAGCAGCAUCUGCUUAAGUAGAAUUUUUAAAACUGGUUAUUAGCUGAAAUUACAAUAGUUAAUUCUUUUAUCUGUAUGUCGCCUGAUCUGUUGCUUGUUGCCAGAUUCUUGUUAUACCAAGAUUGUCUUGAUUAUCCUAAGAUUGUAGAUUUAUUUUUCUCUUGAACCUAUGUUUCUUUUCAUGCAUGUCUAACAUCUACAUGGAACUCUUGAGGUAAAUAAUAUAAGGAGAUUUUUUGUGGUACAUGUGCAUGAACCUAUAGUCGGUUAUUACCGGCUGCCAUUUUUUUAUUAUAUGCGGCUCGUUGUAUAGAGGCUUAUCUAUGCAUUAGUAUUUGAUGCUCUAUCAUGUUAGUUUCCUUGAUCUGCUUUUUGAGCCUUACCAUCAUUUUUUUCUUGUACGCGGCAAUGGCGGGAGUGCCAUAUUGGGCAGAGGAAGAGGAUGAGAAGAAAGAAGGCUUGGGCGUCAGUGGGCGGCAAUGGCGGGAGUGCCAUAUUGGGCAGAGGAGUGCCAUGUUAGUUUCCUCUAUGUCGGAAUGCUCAUCACCUCAUAGGGAAGAUCUGAACCAAGUGACUGCAAGGGUUGUUUGGCAAUGUGUAGGUCAAUCUUACCCUUGCGGACAAGUAACAUUUUUUCUCCAGAUUUAGUCUACAUUGUCCAGGUUGUAUGCUUCGAUUGAGAACCAUCAAGGUAAUACUCUUACCCCACAUGUUGUUCUACAAGAAAAGUAUAAACAAGAUUCAAGUGAGCGUUUAUGGGGUUGCUUGUUCAUAUGAUUUGUUCAUGUGCUUCAUGUUGUAAUUCCAGUCAAGUAAAGACAACAGAAACAUGGUACCCUCUUUACUACUGAAGUUUUGCAACCAUGUUAAUAGUUAAUGCAAAUUGUUGGGACUCUUCUGAGAAGAUUAUUUCAUUAGUUUAUUUCUGUAACUAUUUCCUGUUCAAUAAUAAAGGUUGAGAUCACUACAAGAAAUGGUUCUGAUUGGUUCUACAUAUGAAUUAUGUUAAAUUCUACAUAUGAGGUUGUGUUUCCGCCAUGUAUACUUUGUGUGCAUGUGUUGUUUCCUUUGAGGUUAACUUAUAGUUUGCAAUCAGUUUGUUUUGGUUGUUUAUGAGCUGUGUUGUGUUGUACUGCUCAUGGCUGUGCUGUUUAUUAUACUGUGUUAAAGUUACACGAUUCACAUAUCUUGAUCUUGGAAGUUAUUGAUGUGAGCUUUUCUUGCACAGUGUUGAGAGCUAACAGACGAAUAAUCUUGCAGGUCCUGAAAUUUUUAUGGGAGUAUGUCUUAAAGUCUUGUGUUUCUGUUCAUUGAUGUGAACUUUUAAGUCUCACUGUUGAAUGUAAAACCACCAUUUGUCUUUCGUUUGCUCAUAUUUUGUAUGCUUUCUUAUGUUUGAUUAUUCCUAUUACCAGGAUGAUCUGAAUCACUCAGAAGAAGCGGAGGGUAGAAGGAGGGCACAAGAAGCUUCGUUUCUCAUUGCUGUUAUGUGUGAUAACUUAAAACUUGUGCUUCUCAUCCAAUCUUUGUAGAACUAUGUUGUUGUGCGCUUGUGCACUUGUUGGAUCCUUUUGUUGUGCACUCGCACAUGUAGAACUAUUUUUCUGUACACUUUUAGAAUCAUUUUGCUGUGCACUUGUUGAGCCUUGAACCUUGGUGUGUAGAGGAGUCGAUGGAUGAUGUAUUGUAUUUCAUGUGAUGUGCUACUGAAAUGAAAUAUACAGUUUAUCUGCAA